AUGAAUUGGUUAUAAUGUUCUCCAAUUUGCCUUCCAAGCAUCAAUGAUGUCCAAAAAAUUAUUUUUAUUUUACACUAUCAAAUUACACACUCCAUCUAUCUCAAUUUACAUAAAGGUUGGACGAACCUAAUAAUAACAAUUCAAAAUAUAUAACAAGUAUGUAACUAGUGGUAAAUUAAAGCCACAAAGGAAUCCCUCUAACUCCUCUGUACCACAGAGAUAAAACAAAUCAAUGUUCAUUCUGUUCCUUCACCUGGUGGAGGUAGAUAGAUAUCAAUUCCGCUACAAGCCGGUCGCCUCCGGGACGGAUGAGGGGGGGGGGCAUCGUAGAAGAAAGUAAUUAUGGAUAAUAGCAACAUCCAAACACCGACACCAUCUUCGACUAUAACUGCAGACUCUUCAAUAUCUUCCCAGCAGCCUGUUUUCCCGCAUGCUCUUUUAGCUUCCCCAAACAGCAACCAUGUUCUCGAAAUCACCCUUAUUUCUGCACAAGAUCUUUCUCCUGUCUGCAAAUCUCUUCGAACCUAUGCAUUGGCUUGGGUCAAUCCCAAUCGCAAGCGCACCACUCGCGUUGAUAAUCAAGGCCACACCAAUCCCAAUUGGAAUGACAAGUUUUCUUUCCGCGUUGAUGAUGAAUUCCUUAACUCCGAAUCCUCUGCUGUCCACGUUGAAAUAUAUACGGUUUCUUGGUUUCGUGAUAUUCUUGUAGGAACUGUUAAAGUUGUUCUCGAUAAUCUCAUUAACCCUUACCAGAAUCAGAACAAGAAAUUUGUAGCUCUACAAAUCCGUAGGCCUUCCGGUAAUCCACAAGGAAUACUCAACAUGGCUGUUGCCCUUGUUGACAAGACCAAACGAAGCUUGCCUUUAUUCAGCGAAAUCACCCCAUUGUCAUUGGAUCAUCGAGACAUUUUAGACAGGAAAAUAAAUGACAUUAAUGCUCAGGAUCAAAAUCAAAUGACCAACGGCAACAACACUAAUCAACACGAUGAGGAGAAAUUGCAAAUAAGCAACAAAAUUCAGAUGUGGCAAUCACAGAACAACCUAGGAUAUUCCGAUAUCACUAAUACCGGAGAAUUUCCUAACCAAGCAGGCUCAAUUUGCAAUGGUUCAAUAGCAAACAACGGCUCGGAACUGUGCUCAGACAUAGGGCCAUCUGCUUCCAUUGUGGCAGCUGAGAUAGCAAAGAAGUUGCAUCCAAUGCAACCACAACGACUGUCUUCCAGAGCAAUGAACAACAAGGAGUCUGUAGCAGGGAAAGACGGAGAGAAGAACUCUAUAUUGGAGGAGCUGACAGCGGAGGAAGCGUACGCUAAAGGGUUGGAGAAAAAGAACAACAAAGAGGAGACAGCAACAGCAGAAAGAGCAACCGGAGGACAUACACGGCGUAACACAGACGGAGGAGGAUUAUAUUCAUGCUUUGGAAAUGCAUAUUGUUUCGAGUUCACAAUUGUGUGUGGGGCGAGUAACAACAACAAUCAGAGGAAUCAUAGAGAUAAUAACAACAGUAAUAGUACUGGCAAGAGCAGGAAGAAGACGAAUUCUGCUUAAUAUAUAUUCUUUGGUGCAGGGAUAAUUUUUAACAACCUAUGGAGAGCUUUGGCGAAGACAUGCUGCAAGUACAACUGAGGAAUUAGAUGUUGUUGAUAAGGAGAGACAUAAAUCACAAUUAAGCCUUAUUUUAAGGUGCCAAGACAGAGUCGAGAGCCAACUAACCACCAUUUAAAACUGGAAGCACAGGCGCUAUGAUAUUGAGCUUUGUGCAUGAGCUAAUGCAACUGUAUGCAUGCAUAAUGAUCCAUUGUACAUUAUCUUUGCUAGAAUUUGAAGGAAAACUUGACAAGGAUUAGUUUUAUACGGACUAGCCGAUGAGCUUCAAAAGUUUCUUCCAUCCAAGCAGUACUCAAUGAUGCAGGGAAGUAGCCAUCAAUCAGGUGAGGGACUGGAUAACAAGGGUUAAGGAAGUGUUCUUUUGAGGCUGAUGAUCUCUUGGAUGACGAUUACCACUGAAGUUAAAACAUCGAAAAUUGUUCAACAAGGUAGGCAUAUCUUCUUCUCAAAAUCGAAUUCUAUGAUUUAUAAUCCUACGAUGACUCAUCGUCUCAAGGCCAUUCUACGAGACCUAGAUGCAAUUGCAAGAGAUACGGUUGCAUUAGCUCAUGCACAAAGCUCAGCAAAGCUUGACGGCCUUACAGCAGCAAUAUCAUAUCACCUGUACUUUCGGUUUUAAAUGUUGAUGUUCAAUAAUGUUCGAAGAAGAAGCACUUGGAUACCUCAACAUUGAACCCGUGACCUCCUGGUCACAUGACAGCAACUUUACCGGUUACUCCAAGGCUCCCCUUCUGGAUACUAAUACAGUAUAUGUGUCACA